AUACUUAGCUGGCAGGGAAGAUCACGAGGGUGGUUUUCCCAGGGCGAGGCUUAUUCAUUGGACUGCCGAUGUUUUGACCCCUGCGAUUUCCCCUAAUGUCGGAAGAUCAACUGCAUAAUUUGUAGUUGUGGGGGAAGUACCUUCACGCAUUCCCCUG